AACACCAAUAAACAGACCCAAAAAAAAAAGGGAAAGUAUAUGUAGGUAUGCCUCUCACUCUCUCUUAUUGAAUUGAAAUAGAGAUGGAGAACAAUUGCAGCUUCAUGUCUUGCGAGAAGUUGGAUAGGGUUGCGAGCUGGGUGGGCACGAACGUCGCCUCCGCUUUCUUCGCAUCCCUCGAGCGUUGCUAUUGCAUCAACCUCUCCACUACCGACCCUGACGAAGACGAUGACGACACCAAGGAUCUCCGUCCCCUCAUGCUUUCCAGGCCCGCUGCUGUCCGAGAUUCAGAUUUCCAACCCGCUCCAGCCGGAAUCGCCACCGCCAAUAACAACAACAACAACUCCGAUAUGAAGAGAAUCAAGAAUGAUCUCUGUUUGGAAAACAUCAAUCUUCAUUGCUGCUCCUUCAAAAAUCCUGAACCAGAACUUUGGCUUCUCUCCUCAGCACAAAAGUCACACAUUCGCUGGCCAUGGUGAAAUGUAUUCUGGAAAAAUCUCUCUGUAUUUAUCUAAUCAAACUAAUCUACUGACGUAGUAGUUCGCUGGGCUAUUGAGGUCUACAGCAUUUGCCAUGAAAGUGGGAUUUUACGCCGAGACAUGGAAGGUUCUAACUUGUUGAUAGACAAACAUGGAAUGCCAAAUAAACAAAACAUGGGUCCCAAACCUGUCGCUACUUCGCCCCGACACCGGAGGAGAGAGAAAAGAAGGAAGAGGGGGUGAUUCUGAAAUUCUGGAGCGAGCAUAUGAAGAGGAGAGAGAAUGAGGAGAGGAAGAAAAUAAUGGGAGAGGAAGAGAAGAAUGACCGAUUUCACUAAAUUAUGAGCAGGCUGUGCGAAAAAUUAGUUGUUUUUUAAGUUUUGAUUCUUGAAAAGUGACGGAGGGUUUGCUCCGUUAUACAAGGGUAUUUAUAUAAGCUUAACAAAACAUAAUUCUAUGGGCCCUAACCCCUAAGCCCCAAGUCACUAACAAUAUUCAAACACAAGUAACUGUGUUCAAACGUCAGUAUAAACUUAUUUCAUUAUAUAUAGCAUAUGGUUCUGCCAACUCUGAUCCGCAAACAGUACAGCUUACUUUAAUUGAUCCUCCCUAUAUUCACACAAUCGGAGUUCCUGUGGGUGGACGGGCUGUGAUUCAAUUUCGUGGAGAUAAUCCAAAUAAUUGAGGUUCAAUUUACACAUGUAUAUUGACACAAUUGAUCCUCUCAUAUGUAUGUCUAACUCGUACUAAUUGUUGUAUACCAUUAUAGGCGUAUCAUAUUGAGAUACACC